rnacentral:rRNA from 1 species
CUACGGGGUGCAGCAGUGGGGAAUAUUGCGCAAUGGGCGAAAGCCUGACGCAGCGACGCCGCGUGAGGGAUGAAGGUCUUCGGAUCGUAAACCUCUGUCAGCAGGGAAGAACGGUCACUGUGCGUAUCAGCAGAGAAUUGACGGGAACAGAAAAGGAAGCACCGGCCAACCCCGGGCCAGCAGCCGCGGUAAUACGGAGGGUGCGAGCGUUAAUCGGAAUUACUGGGCCUAAAGCGACGGGAGGCGGUUUUUCCAGUCAAGUGGGAAAUCCCCCGGCUCAACGGGGGAACUGCCUUUGAAACUGGCAGCCUGGAGUGUGUGAGACGAUAGUGGAAUUCCAGGUGUAGGAGUGAAAUCCGUCGAUAUCUGGAGGAACAUCAGUGGCGACGGCGCCUCUCUGGCCCGUAACUGACGCUGAGGUGCGAACGCGUGGGUAGCAAACAGGAUUAGAUACCCCGGUAGUC